GCGAAUGCUGGCGGCAGGCUUAACACAUGCAAGUCGAGCGGGCGUAGCAAUACGUCAGCGGCAGACGGGUGAGUAACGCGUGGGAACGUACCUUUUGGUUCGGAACAACACAGGGAAACUUGUGCUAAUACCGGAUAAGCCCUUACGGGGAAAGAUUUAUCGCCGAAAGAUCGGCCCGCGUCUGAUUAGCUAGUUGGUGAGGUAACGGCUCACCAAGGCGACGAUCAGUAGCUGGUCUGAGAGGAUGAUCAGCCACAUUGGGACUGAGACACGGCCCAAACUCCUACGGGAGGCAGCAGUGGGGAAUAUUGGACAAUGGGCGAAAGCCUGAUCCAGCCAUGCCGCGUGAGUGAUGAAGGCCCUAGGGUUGUAAAGCUCUUUUGUGCGGGAAGAUAAUGACGGUACCGCAAGAAUAAGCCCCGGCUAACUUCGU
rnacentral:rRNA from 1 species